UAAGGGGGCUAUACUGAGGGUGCUCCACCCGUUCCCAUUCCGAACACGGAAGUGAAAUCCCUCAAGGCCGAUGAUAGUGAGAAAUCGCGAAAGUAGGUAGCCCUCCUAC
rnacentral:rRNA from 2 species